rnacentral:lncRNA from 1 species
AUGAACAGGAGACAGAGAUACAGAGCAUACCGCACGGGAUUAGAGAGAGAGAGAGAGAGCAGCGAUAGAAUGGGAGAGAGAGGAGCGGCGGUGAUGGCGGAAUGACCAUUCUCUCCCGCCGACCAUCCUCUUGGCCUUUGGUCAGACCACCGGUGGUGGGUUGUGGUGGUUUGGACGGGUGAAACGAUGGUAGAAGGCGGUGGUGAACGAGGGUUAAGCGUCAUAGUAUGACGACAAUGACGGCUGUGGGUUCUGGGGUCCCGUCGUCGAUUCAGAUCAACAGCUGAAACCCUAGGGUUACAUUGAACGCGAAUGUAGCAACGACGAGGCAACGCCGGCUGAUCCGACGACGACAAAGCUUGAGGCGAAAGUUGUCAAAAUUUUGUCUUCUUUCGAGGUAUGGUUCUGUUUCACUGAUUUCAUCCAGAUUUGUUUGAUAUUUGUUCGAACUUAUGUAUGUCUACACGAAGAGAAGGAGAAAAAUGUACACCCCCUGUAUUAUUUACAUCCAGCCUAAAUGAAUAACUAUGCACAUGUGGAGGACAAAUAUAAUGUGUGUUAGAGACCCAACUUUUACAUCUAAACAAAAUUAAAAUCCGUGUUAUAUCAUGUGAUUGGCUUCUAUUCGAUUAUCAAAAAAUUGAAUUGUAGCCUUUAGUUAUACAAAUCUAACUUGGGAUCUGUCAUAUGUUUGAGUAUGAUACUGGUUAACACUAUCAUUCCUAUAACAGAUGAUCCUUGAUCCGGAUGUUUUAUAUUCCAAAGUAAAAGUUGUAUGAAAUGUUACAAAGUGUUUGAUAAAACUUACAUAAGAUGACAUGAAGAAGUGUGUAAGCUUAUAUUACAUGAUAUACUAUGAUUGCAUUUAGGAUUUUUGUACGGUGUUGAUUACUUAUAGUUUAUUACACAUUGUGAGCAUCAUCCUUGCUGCCACUGCAUGGCUGGUGACGGUGGGGAUUGUCAGCAUCGGACGGGAGAUUAGGUCGGCCGCGAUGUUGUUGAAGAGUUCCACCAGGUGACGGAGGUGGGCAAAAGCCCAGCGAAGAUCCGCCGAAGGAUGAUUUCACGUAUGCGAGAUCCAAACCAUUGUAGAAGAAUUUACCUCCGGUGACGGUUAUUAUGGCGAUCCCGGCAGUUGAUUGAGAUUUGGCUCAUGAUAUCCCGGAGCAUUGGUUAGCUAAUUUUGUGGUGCUAUGGCUUUACAAAGGUUGAUUUAAUGAAGAUGUAGGUUUCUAAUAUUAGCUUUGAUGCAGUAUAUACAGUUGAUGCUACUUGCUAUGCCCCAAAUUCGAUUCAACACAUUAGUGGAUAUGGUCAAAUGGUUGAUAAUUGUUGCUGUCAUGGAGCAGUCGUUGGAUUUUGCUCUUUGUUGUUUGGAGAAAUCAGUUGCUAACUGUGAUAGUUUAAGUUUUAUUCAGGUCCAACGGCCUUUUCUACUUCGUUGGUGAUAGCUGCAAACCCUCAGAUUUUUGGGCCGGGUAACAGCCCCGCCCCCACAGUCAAGGCGCCCAACCCAACAACACCAGCCCAAAAAGGAACAUCGAAGCCUCAGCAAAGUGGCAGCUGCAGUUCUCUGAUUCACAACCACCACCAAAAAGGCCGGGUAAAGGUGGAAUGGACGACUAAAAGCUGAACCAUAGACAUACCUUUUGUCCACCUAAAGAAACAAGUCACGGUGAAAUGGCAGCCUACAUCCAAAAAGCACCAAACAAGUACAUCACCUGCUGCGUAUAUAAGUAGCCACGACGGCUUUCCUUAGGAAAACUUGUAAUUAACGUUAUACGUAUGCUACUGACUUCAACAUGUAUCUCUAGAUGUCCUAAAUUUUGUUAGCCGCGUCUAUACGCGACAUUAUAAUCUCUAUGCGCGACACUAUAGUCGAUGAAUGAUAAUGUUAUUAACAU